UACAGAGGGUGCGAGCGUUAAUCGGAAUUACUGGGCGUAAAGCGCGCGUAGGCGGCUUUGCAAGUCGGGUGUGAAAUCCCCAGGCUUAACCUGGGAAUUGCAUUCGAGACUGCAUUGCUAGAGUAUGGGAGAGGGAAGUGGAAUUUCCGGUGUAGCGGUGAAAUGCGUAGAUAUCGGAAGGAACAUCAGUGGCGAAAGCGACUUCCUGGACCAAUACUGACGCUCAUGUGCGAAAGCGUGGGGAGCAAACAGG
rnacentral:rRNA from 1 species